rnacentral:rRNA from 1 species
GACGAACGCUGGCGACGUGCCUAAUACAUGCAAGUUGAGCGCUGAAGGUUGGUACUUGUACCGACUGGAUGAGCAGCGAACGGAUGAGUAACGCGUGGGGAAUCUGCCUUUGAGCGGGGGACAACAUUUGGAAACGAAUGCUAAUACCGCAUAACAACUUUAAACACAAGUUUUAAGUUUGAAAGAUGCAAUUGCAUCACUCAAAGAUGAUCCCGCGUUGUAUUAGCUAGUUGGUGAGGUAAAGGCUCACCAAGGCGAUGAUACAUAGCCGACCUGAGAGGGUGAUCGGCCACAUUGGGACUGAGACACGGCCCAAACUCCUACGGGAGGCAGCAGUAGGGAAUCUUCGGCAAUGGACGAAAGUCUGACCGAGCAACGCCGCGUGAGUGAAGAAGGUUUUCGGAUCGUAAAACUCUGUUGGUAGAGAAGAACGUUGGUGAGAGUGGAAAGCUCAUCAAGUGACGGUAACUACCCAGAAAGGGACGGCUAACUACGUGCCAGCAGCCGCGGUAA